GACGAACGCUGGCGGCGUGCCUAAUACAUGCAAGUCGAACGCAUUUUCUUUCACCGUAGCUUGCUACACCGAAAGAAAAUGAGUGGCGAACGGGUGAGUAACACGUUGGUAACCUGCCCAUCAGCGGGGGAUAACACUUGGAAACAGGUGCUAAUACCGCAUAAUUCCAUUUACUGCAUGGUAGAUGGAUGAAAGGCGCUUUUGCGUCACUGUUGGAUGGACCCGCGGUGCAUUAGCUAGUUGGUGGGGUAACGGCCUACCAAGGCUGCGAUGCAUAGCCGACCGGAGAGGGUGAGAGGCCACACUGGGACGGAGACACGGCCCAGACUCCUACGGGAGGCAGCAGUAGGGAAUCUGCGGCAAUGGACGCAAGUCUGACCGAGCAACGCCGCGUGAGUGAAGAAGGAUUUCGGAUCGUAAAACUCUGUUGUUAGAAAAGAACAAGGAUGAGAGUGGAAAGGUCAUCCCUUGACGGUAUCUAACCAGAAAGCCACGGCUAACUACGUG
rnacentral:rRNA from 1 species